UUCCCAACUGUUGUGCAAAACAUUAUUCCUCAGUUCAAUUUCUAUACUACUUUGAUUUUGUGCCAGCCUCAUAAUUUAUGUCUAUACCCACAGGAGACCCUACUUGAGUGUCUGAGGAACAAAAUAAAAAAAGAAAGGUCACCUUUAGGCAACUUGACGUCCAGGAAAUUAAGAGAAAGUUUGGUGCUGGAGGAAACAGAAUUGUGGACCAUAUGCCUCUGGAGGAACCACCUGGACAUCAGAGAGAAAAUAAGUGCAGAUUGGAAAACGCAGUCCAGAUGCUUUCUGGGAAUUAUCCAACACAAGAGGAACCACCCAACUCAUUUCCGGUCAUCAGCCUCCACGAUGCAGACUCCCCUCCUUGCCAGGAGAGCAUCCAUUAUGAUGGAUGGCAUCACCAUUAUAAGCGGCGAGAUGGAUGUGGCACAUGCCAUUCAAUGUCUGCUGGAGAUGUACUUCGUCAUUGGUGUGGAGUACCCCCGGCAGAUCAAGCAUACCCUUAGCUUUUCAGAGCAUUAUCUUUUCAAAAUACAAAAUUAAAAAAAAGUGUCCAUCCCUGUUCUGAAAUUAUAUAACCAGAUUAGUUCAUCACUGUUACUGUUGAGUUUUUAAAUAAAAAAAAUACAGUCCAUUUUUGAAU